rnacentral:rRNA from 1 species
GCCAGUGGUGAACUCCACAUACGCAUCCUUUGCUGAGGAUACGGUUAACGGAGCGAAAGCGACGUUCAACCUCAAAAGAAGCAGAGGGGGCUUAGUGGUGGGGUGACUGCGUACCUUUUGUAUAAUGGGUCAGCGACUUAUAUUCUGUAGCAAGGUUAACCGAAUAGGGGAGCCGGAGGGAAACCGAGUCUUAACCGGGCGUUAAGUUGCAGGGUAUAGACCCGAAACCCGGUGAUCUAGCCAUGGGCAGGUUGAAGGUUGGGUAACACUAACUGGAGGACCGAACCGACUAAUGUUGAAAAAUUAGCGGAUGACCUGUGGCUGGGGGUGAAAGGCCAAUCAAACCGGGAGAUAGCUGGUUCUCCCCGAAAGCUAUUUAGGUAGCGCCUCGUGAAUUCAUCUCCGGGGGUAGAGCACUGUUUCGGCUAGGGGGCCAUCCCGGCUUACCAACCCGAUGCAAACUGCGAAUACCGGAGAAUGUUAUCACGGGAGACACACGGCGGGUGCUAACGUCCGUCGUGAAGAGGGAAACAACCCAGACCGCCAGCUAAGGUCCCAAAGUCAUGGUUAAGUGGGAAACGAUGUGGGAAGGCCCAGACAGCCAGGAUGUUGGCUUAGAAGCAGCCAUCAUUUAAAGAAAGCGUAAUAGCUCACUGGUCGAGUCGGCCUGCGCGGAAGAUGUAACGGGGCUAAACCAUGCACCGAAGCUGCGGCAGCGACGCUGAUGCGUUGUUGGGUAGGGGAGCGUUCUGUAAGCCUGCGAAGGUGGCCUGUGAGGGUUGCUGGAGGUAUCAGAAGUGCGAAUGCUGACAUAAGUAACGAUAAAGCGGGUGAAAAGCCCGCUCGCCGGAAGACCAAGGGUUCCUGUCCAACGUUAAUCGGGGCAGGGUGAGUCGACCCCUAAGGCGAGGCCGAAAGGCGUAGUCGAUGGGAAACGGGUUAAUAUUCCCGUACUUGGUGUUACUGCGAAGGGGGGACGGAGAAGGCUAUGUUGGCCGGGCGACGGUUGUCCCGGUUUAAGCGUGUAGGUGUGUGUUCCAGGUAAAUCCGGUUCACUUUAACACUGAGGCGUGAUGACGAGGCACUACGGUGCUGAAGCAACAAAUGCCCUGCUUCCAGGAAAAGCCUCUAAGCAUCAGGUAACAUCAAAUCGUACCCCAAACCGACACAGGUGGUCAGGUAGAGAAUACCAAGGCGCUUGAGAGAACUCGGGUGAAGGAACUAGGCAAAAUGGUGCCGUAACUUCGGGAGAAGGCACGCUGACACGUAGGUGAAGUGAUUUACUCAUGGAGCUGAAGUCAGUCGAAGAUACCAGCUGGCUGCAACUGUUUAUUAAAAACACAGCACUGUGCAAACACGAAAGUGGACGUAUACGGUGUGACGCCUGCCCGGUGCCGGAAGGUUAAUUGAUGGGGUCAGCGCAAGCGAAGCUCCUGAUCGAAGCCCCGGUAAACGGCGGCCGUAACUAUAACGGUCCUAAGGUAGCGAAAUUCCUUGUCGGGUAAGUUCCGACCUGCACGAAUGGCGUAAUGAUGGCCAGGCUGUCUCCACCCGAGACUCAGUGAAAUUGAACUCGCUGUGAAGAUGCAGUGUACCCGCGGCAAGACGGAAAGACCCCGUGAACCUUUACUAUAGCUUGACACUGAACAUUGAGCCUUGAUGUGUAGGAUAGGUGGGAGGCUUUGAAGUGUGGACGCCAGUCUGCAUGGAGCCGGCCUUGAAAUACCACCCUUUAAUGUUUGAUGUUCUAACGUGGACCCGUGAUCCGGGUUGCGGACAGUGUCUGGUGGGUAGUUUGACUGGGGCGGUCUCCUCCUAAAGAGUAACGGAGGAGCACGAAGGUUGGCUAAUCCUGGUCGGACAUCAGGAGGUUAGUGCAAUGGCAUAAGCCAGCUUGACUGCGAGCGUGACGGCGCGAGCAGGUGCGAAAGCAGGUCAUAGUGAUCCGGUGGUUCUGAAUGGAAGGGCCAUCGCUCAACGGAUAAAAGGUACUCCGGGGAUAACAGGCUGAUACCGCCCAAGAGUUCAUAUCGACGGCGGUGUUUGGCACCUCGAUGUCGGCUCAUCACAUCCUGGGGCUGAAGUAGGUCCCAAGGGUAUGGCUGUUCGCCAUUUAAAGUGGUACGCGAGCUGGGUUUAGAACGUCGUGAGACAGUUCGGUCCCUAUCUGCCGUGGGCGCUGGAGAACUGAGGGGGG